ACGGAGGAUCCGAGCGUUAUCCGGAUUUAUUGGGUUUAAAGGGAGCGUAGGCGGAUUGUUAAGUCAGUUGUGAAAGUUUGCGGCUCAACCGUAAAAUUGCAGUUGAUACUGGCAGUCUUGAGUGCAGUAGAGGUGGGCGGAAUUCGUGGUGUAGCGGUGAAAUGCUUAGAUAUCACGAAGAACUCCGAUUGCGAAGGCAGCUCACUGGAGUGUAACUGACGCUGAUGCUCGAAAGUGUGGGUAUCAAACAG
rnacentral:rRNA from 1 species